rnacentral:rRNA from 1 species
AUUGAACGCUGGCGGCAGGCCUAACACAUGCAAGUCGAGCGGAUGAAGGGAGCUUGCUCCUGUUUUCAGCGGCGGACGGGUGAGUAAUUCCUAGGAAUCUGCCUGGUAGUUGGGGAUAACGUCCGUACACGGCCCCUAAUCCCCCUCCGUCUCUGAGUUAGAACUGGGUGGUUCUUCGGCCCUCGCUUUUUUUGCUAUCACUAGGUCGUAUUAGCUAGUUGGUGGGGUAAGGGCGUACCAAGGCGACGAUCCGUAGCUGAUCUGAGAGGAUGAUCAGUCACACUGGAACUGAGACACGGUCCAGACUCCUACGGGAGGCAGCAGUGGGGAAUAUUGGACAAUGGGCGAAAGCCUGAUCCAGCAAUGCCGCGUGAGUGAAGAAGGUCUUCGGAUUGUAAAGCACUUUUAGUAGGGAGGAAGAGCAGUAAGAUAAUACCUUGCUGUUUUGACGGUACCAACAGAAUAAGCACCGGCUAACUACGUG